rnacentral:rRNA from 1 species
AUACGGAGGGUGCAAGCGUUAUCCGGAUUUACUGGGUUUAAAGGGUGCGUAGGUGGGUCUGUAAGUCAGUGGUGAAAUCUCCGAGCUUAACUCGGAAACUGCCAUUGAUACUAUAGGUCUUGAAUUAUCUGGAGGUAAGCGGAAUAUGUCAUGUAGCGGUGAAAUGCUUAGAUAUGACAUAGAACACCAAUUGCGAAGGCAGCUUACUACGGAUACAUUGACACUGAGGCACGAAAGCGUGGGGAUCAAACAGGAUUAGAUACCCUGGUAGUCCACGCCCUAAACGAUGGAUACUCGACAUACGCGAUACACUGUGUGUGUCUGAGCGAAAGCAUUAAGUAUCCCACCUGGGAAGUACGAUCGCAAGAUUGAA